AUGCCCAAGAUCUUUGACCUUUCUACAAGAAAAAACUGCUCUGUGAAGAAGGCCUUGCACAAUAACUUCUGGGUUUCUAAGGUGAAUAUUAGUGGGAACCUCACUGUCAGCCACAUAUCCGAGUUCGCCAACCUUUGGGGAAAGCUCUCGCUUGUCAAUCUCAACCCGGAGGAGACCGAUUCAAUUACCUGGAAGCUCACCAAUGAUGGCCAAUAUUCAGCAGCGUCGGCUUAUAAUGCAUAAUUCCUUGGGCUAGUGGACACGGACAUGCCUAUGUUAGUGUGGCAAAAUUGGGCUCCUCCCAAAUGCAAUUUUUUUGCUUGGUUGGUUAUCAACAAUAGAGUUUGGACGACUGACGGGCUUCAGUGAAGGGGUUGGCCAAAUUGUAACCUUUGUCCUCUUUGCAAGCAAACUCCGGAAUCAGCGGCACACCUUCUUUUCCAAUGCCGCUAGACCAUCCGUGUCUGGGGAAUGAUUAAGUCUUGGCUCGACUUACACAAUGUAUAUCGAGCGGACUGGGGUGGAUUGACUUCGGUCAAGGAGUGGUGGCGCGUCAAUGCUUCUGGGACCUCACGACCACGAAGGGCGCUGACUUCUAAUAUGCUACUGAUUUCUUGGGAAAUAUGAAAAGAGCGAAAUGCAUGUGUGUUCCUUAACAACACAGUUUCAGUGGGUGUGCUUGUUGCUCGAAUCAAAGAGGAAGCCUCAUGGUGGUGCCGUGCGGGGACGAAAUAUUUGUGUAAUGUAAUGCCGCGAGAGUGA
rnacentral:rRNA from 1 species